AGUGGCAACCCCACCUUGAGAAAGGGGUUGAUCUCAGCUCUUCCUAAGCCCAGUCUUAAAACAUCCAAUUCCACAGCAGCAGCCGGUAGAGGAGGAAUGUCGACUUUUGGGGACGUCCAGGCUGCCACGGACACUGUUUUAUUUAUUGCAGCACAGUGGCAGGGGCAAAGGUGAGGCGUGGUGAGUGGAACGGACAGCGCAGUCUGCGGUUUCGCUUUAUAAUCCGGGUACCAGUUCCCCCAGCUGCCAGAAUGUUAGCCCUAAGCUAACAUGAGAAUGUUCAUCUAGGAAUUGCUUAGCUAUUGGCUUGCCCAAGGCCAAGCCCCAACCUUAGGAGUGGUCUAUAUCCAAGGCAUGCUCCUGAAGCAGUAACCACAAGCUUGUCUCAGAAUCUGUCUCAGAAAUCUACCGAAGGGCUUUGGCAACCUGACUACAGCUGGAUUAGAAAUGGAAAUAUGCAAGGCCGAGCAGACACCGACCUACAGGCUGCCGCUCAGGCCACAGCUAAGUUGGCUCAUGUGUCCUAUGUGGUUGGUUGGUGUACAAACAGAAAGACGGAUUGCUGCUUUUUAUGGAGGCAGAGUCACAACAGAGUUCUUUUAACUCACGAACCAACAAACUGAACAGGUGGCAUAUAUUAGCAGUAUUUGUUGGGCAUGAGUCAGAUCACUUUACUGAGGUAUUUCAUGACAUCAUCAUGAGUGUGGACAUAUUUGAUUCAAUUGCAAGGAGUUCAAGGGAGAGAAAACAGCUUCCCCCGAUUUCAGUAUUGGAAGAGUCUUCACACACCCUACUGCAAUUCCACAACUUUAUGAAUGAAGACCAGAGCUCAAAGAAACUUAGGAGGUUAUUCCAAAUCACACAGCCUUUUAGUGUCAUCCAGGGCGUGGAGACAGGCUUCAUGAUGGUGGACACAAUGUGAUCAGCUGACUCAGGCUUCUGUCUCCCAGAUUUACUUACCAUGCUGCACCUUGCUCUGGAACAGCACCUCCUGUGGCUCUGAGAGGACUAACACAGCAACGUGGCUCACACGGAAUAACACCAGGGAAGAGGCAGGCCUGCCUGCAGAUGACCAACGUGGUGAGAGUAUGUGGAAUUUUCAGCCUAAAGCUCUUCUUGAAGUGUCACGGAACUUGAAGCUUUGUCAUCCUUAGAACCGAUCCCACCUGCUUCUGCUUUGACUAGUAUGUUGUUACUUUAUCUCUCCUUCUGUUUCCACGAGACAUGUUUUGGAGAAACACUAGACCUACUGACAGGGAGUUUGUGGGAAUUACAUGGGGCAGUGUGAAUUCUACACAACAGGGUUCCCGCUACUGCUUGGCAAGCGUGGGCAAUGAUUAUAACGUAUUAGCAGUAUAGGAGGAGAAUGUUCUUUACUGACAUUAUCUGUGACUUCCAUGCUGCCUAGAAACCUAAUAUCUCCCCAGCGCAUGAGGGACUGGGCAGUGCUCUAUGGAAGCAAGAUGCCUUAGUGCUGAGACCUAAGCCAGUCUUUGGUUGUGCUAUUAAUUUGUGAGAGGCCUGUCUAGAGCAAGCAGCUGACCUCUCAGGACUCAUGUCUGUCUCUCAGCAGUUCAGAUAAUGACAUACCAGUCAACGCUAGCUUAAUGGCCACACAAACACUUUCAGACUUUACUGUUUAUAAACAAUCAGAUGAAUGAAAAAAAAAAUGGUUGCAGGAUUUGGAUGCAAUUUAAGAGUGUGAAGCAAAAGUAUAAAAGGCAUGUAAUCUUUGUGAUCUACUGUGAGAAUAAACUGCGUUAGGAUAAUGAAGGCUGUUUGGGAUGAGGAUUGGAAUUUGGAUAAUGAGGAUAAGCAUUUGAGUAACAAAUAAUUAGUACAUAAAAUAUUUAAAAUGUUUAGAAACCUAAAGUCUCAGAAGGAAACAGUUGACUUUUAGUUUACUUAAAGGUCACCCAUGUGCUUCAUUCCCUGUGAUGUUCAGUCUCCACUCCUUUAGGAAGAUAUCUAAUCAUUUUUCAAAUGAGAGAGAUAUGGUUCCACUCCUGGGUGUGGGAUGACAGACCCAUGGCCCACCUACCUGAGCUUCCCUCGUGUUGUCUAGAGAU